rnacentral:snoRNA from 1 species
AAGACUGUGCUUUCAGGGAUCAUUUCUGUAGUUUGUUACAAGGAGGAGACUUGCACAGGGAAUGUCAAGGCAGGUGGGAGGCAGACAGUCCAGGAGCACAGGGUCCAU